GACGGAGGAUGCAAGUGUUAUCCGGAAUCACUGGGCGUAAAGCGUCUGUAGGUGGUUUAAAAAGUCCACUGUUAAAAAUUGAAGCUUAACUUCAAAGAUGCCGUGGAAACUUUUAGACUUGAGUAUGAUAGGGGUAGAGGGAAUUUCCAGUGGAGCGGUGAAAUGCGUAGAUAUUGGAAAGACCACCAAUGGCGAAGGCACUCUACUGGGCCAUUACUGACACUGAGAGACGAAAGCUAGGGGAGCGAAUGGG
rnacentral:rRNA from 1 species